rnacentral:rRNA from 1 species
UACAGAGGUCUCAAGAGUUGUUCGGAUUCAUUGGGCGUAAAGGGUGCGUAGGCGGCGCGGUAAGUCGGGUGUGAAAUCUUGGAGCUUAACUCCGAAACUGCAUUCGAUACUGCCGUGCUUGAGGACUGGAGAGGAGACUGGAAUUUACGGUGUAGCGGUGAAAUGCGUAGAUAUCGUAAGGAAGACCAGUGGCGAAGGCGGGUCUCUGGACAGUUCCUGACGCUGAGGCACGAAGGCCAGGGGAGCAAACGGG